UACAGAGGUCUCAAGCGUUGUUCGGAUUCAUUGGGCGUAAAGGGUGCGUAGGCGGCGCGGUAAGUCGGGUGUGAAAGUCUCGGAGCUUAACUCCGAAACUGCAUUCGAUACUGCCGUGCUUGAGGACUGGAGAGGAGACUGGAAUUUACGGUGUAGCGGUGAAAUGCGUAGAGUAAUCGAGGAGGAACACCUGUGGCGAAAGCGGACU
rnacentral:rRNA from 1 species